rnacentral:piRNA from 1 species
UGCCCGAAGUGUCACAGCUCUUAGA